rnacentral:rRNA from 1 species
AGCGAACGCUGGCGGCGUGCCUAACACAUGCAAGUCGAGCGAGAAAGAGGACUUCGGUCCUUAAGUACAGCGGCGAACGGGUGCGUAACACGUGGGCAAUCUGUCCUCGGGAUGGGGAUAACCCAGCGAAAGUUGGGCUAAUACCCAAUAAGACCACGGAAAGUCAUUUCUGAGGUCAAAGGGUGCUUCUUUUGGGGGCACCCGCUAGGGGAGGAGCCUGCGGCCUAUCAGCUUGUUGGUAGGGAACGGCCUACCAAGGCAAAGACGGGUAGCUGGUCUGAGAGGAUGACCAGCCACACGGGGACU